rnacentral:rRNA from 1 species
GAUGAACGCUGGCGGCGUGCCUAAUACAUGCAAGUCGAGCGAACAGAUGAGGAGCUUGCUCCUCUGACGUUAGCGGCGGACGGGUGAGUAACACGUGGAUAACCUACCUAUAAGACUGGGAUAACUUCGUGAAACCGGAUCUAAUACCGGAUAAUAUAUUCAACCGCAUGGUUCAAUAGUGAAAGACGGUUUUGCUGUCACUUUUAGAUGGAUUCGCGCCGCAUUAGCUAGUUGGUAAGGUAACGGCUUACCAAGGCAACGAUGCGUAGCCGACCUGAGAGGGUGAUCGGCCACACUGGAACUGAGACACGGUCCAGACUCCUACGGGAGGCAGCAGUAGGGAAUCUUCCGCAAUGGGCGAAAGCCUGACGGAGCAACGCCGCGUGAGUGAUGAAGGUCUUCGGAUCGUAAAACUCUGUUAUUAGGGAAGAACAAAUGUGUAAGUAACUAUGCACGUCUUGACGGUACCUAAACAGAAAGCCACGGCUAACUACGUG